CCUGCUGCAAUUAACUUAUUUUCCACCCCUGCGGUGUGUGGUUCCUGGAGCAACGCCUGCUACCUGCUUCUCUGCCCCAUCCUCUGUGAGGAAGGGUCCAUGCUGUUCCUUUUUCUGUCUCAAAAAUGUGCUCAUGUGCCCCAAGUUGUGUGAACCACCGACUCUGUGCUCCUUCCAGGCCCUGACCAGUGUGUUUGAGCAUUAAAGCUCGCAGGUACAUCAAAGGUGCUCAGUAAAUGCUGGAUAAAUCAAUCCAUGCUUUCCUGGGCUCUCCUGGUGGGAUGCAUUCUUUUAGCUAAGCGUCCCUGCCAGGGGAGUGGUUGGUUUCCAUGAGGCCAGAGGGGGAAAAGCUGGUUGACCCCUAUCCUGGGCAUUCAGAGUCAUUUCCCGCUCCUUUCUGUGGCUGGAACCAGAAGAAUAUAUCUCAGGUCUAAUAGGGUAUGGACUGCAUAAAGCCUGGGAUUUUUGUGCAUUCUGUUCAUGACAAUGUCUCUAGCCUGUUGAACAGCCCAUAGUAGGCACUCAGCAAACCAAUAGGAACUGAGGGGGUCAAGGAAAUGCCCUGUGAUCCCCCUGAAUCCAACCCCUCUGUCUUUGCCCACCUUUCCUCCGUUAAAACACAGCCUAUAUCAAUGAGGGCCUGGGAGAAAACUGGGGUGGGGGAGGACUGUGCCUCUCUUGACCUUCAUUUACAAAAAAUAAGUUGGCUCCUAGACCCGUGUUGGAGCCACACUGCCCGGGACAGCCCUGAAGCAGCCACGUCCCCACCUUUCAGGAGUCGGCCAAGAGCACGGUGGCUGCAGAAGGCCCUGGCUGAUGGAGAUAACAUUUGACAAACAGGUGCUUUUCCAAUUAUGGAUAACAACAGAAAAGCAGUCAUUGGUUUCUAAAAGGUCAUCAAGAUAUAAAGCCCGUUUGGGAAGGGAAUGACUUACGCAGUGGGCUUGUAUAAAUCUGGAGAAGUUUUAUGCACAAGUCGGACAAGAAAUGUGUUCUACAUACGGCUCGGGAGCCAGCAAGUGCGUAUGAAGCCCCUUCACAUGGCUAGUGGCAUCCUAAGGACCCGGCGACAAUUAGUCAUGGCGUCAUCGAACACCAGGCUGGAGGAGGUCUUGGAUGCCACAGCUCCUUUUGAAUUUCAAAGACGUUCAAAUCCCCAUCUGGCUGUUACACUUUUAGGCUAUUGAGAGUGAAAACAAGCACUGACAUGAACACCCAACCAGCUGCCGGUGACAUCGUCCCCUUCUGAGAUCUGAGGACAUGGAUACCCAACCACCUGCCGGUGACAUCGUCUCCUUCUGAGAUCUGAGGACAUGAACACCCAACCACCUGCCGGUGAUAUCGUCCCCUUCUGAGAUCUGAGGACGUGGAUAUCCAACCACCUGCCGGUGACAUUGUCUCCUUCUGAGAUCUGAGGACAUGGACACCAAACCACCUGCCGGUGACAUUGUCUCCUUCUGAGAUCUGAGGACAUGAACACCAAACCACCUGCCAGUGACAUCGUCCCCUUCUGAGAUCUGAGGACAUGGAUACCCAACCACCUGCCGGUGACAUCGUCUCCUUCUGAGAUCUGAGGACAUGGACACCCAACCACCUGCCGGUGACAUCGUCUCCUUCUGAGAUCUGAGGACAUGAACACCCAACCACCUGCCGGUGAUAUCGUCCCCUUCUGAGAUCUGAGGACGUGGAUAUCCAACCACCUGCCGGUGACAUUGUCUCCUUCUGAGAUCUGAGGACAUGGACACCAAACCACCUGCCGGUGACAUUGUCUCCUUCUGAGAUCUGAGGACAUGAACACCAAACCACCUGCCAGUGACAUCGUCCCCUUCUGAGAUCUGAGGACAUGGAUACCCAACCACCUGCCGGUGACAUGGACACCAAACCACCUGCCGGUGACAUCGUCUCCUUCUGAGAUCUGAGGACAUGAACACCCAACCACCUGCCGGUGACAUCGUCCCCUUCUGAGAUCUGAGGACAUGGAUACCCAACCACCUGCCGGUGACAUCGUCUCCUUCUGAGAUCUGAGGACAUGGACACCCAACCUGCUGCUGGUGACAUCGUUCCCUUCUGAGAUCUGAGGACAUGGACACCAAACCACCUGCCAGUGACAUCGUCUCCUUCUGAGAUCUGAGGACAUGGACACCAAACCUGCUGCCGGUGACAUCGUCCCCUUCUGAGAUCUGAGGACAUGGACACCCAACCACCUGCCGGUGACAUCGUCUCCUUCUGAGGUCUGAGGACAGACACUCACAUGGACACCUAAACACCUGCCGAUGAUAUUGUCUCCUUCUGAAAUCUGAGGACAUGGACACCCAACCAGCUGCUGGUGACAUCAUCUCCUUCUGAGAUCUGAGGACAGACACUCACAUAGACGCCCAAUCAGCUGCUGGUGACAUUGUCUCCUUCUGAAAUCUGAGGGUUGGAACACAUUGGCCUGGCUCAGUGUUUCUCCAUGUGGUUUUGAGACCACCUGAGUUGGAACCGAUAUGGGUUCCCAGCCUCACGCCUGGAGAGCUGGAUUUUGCGAGUGUGAGGUUAGGUCCAGCAUCUGCAUGUGUAACGAGCUCCCAGGUGUUUCGUAGAUGCAUUAGGGCUUGAGAAGCUCCUUUCUAGCACCAUCUUCCUUUUUGCGCAUGAGGGAGUUCAGGUCCAGAGAAAUAAAGCAGCAAGGUUAGUGGCACAGCUGGCGCCCCCUGCUUUCUAGGAAUUUAGAAUAUUAUUGAAGAGAGAGGUAUUAGAACCUGUGAAGUCAAUACAGAGACCUCCAGGCGAGUGGCAUCCUCACUGAAACCACUGACAAGUAUGCUGAAUAGAAAGUGUCAUUUCUCCUGGAAGACCCUCAGUGACCCAGCUGGAGGGUCUCUCCUACUCAUCAGCUGUCCCUCACUCUGCCAUUUCAG
rnacentral:lncRNA from 10 species